rnacentral:rRNA from 1 species
UACGGGGGGGGCAAGCGUUGUUCGGAAUUACUGGGCGUAAAGGGCUCGUAGGCGGCCAACUAAGUCAGACGUGAAAUCCCUCGGCUUAACCGGGGAACUGCAUCUGAUACUGGAUGGCUUGAGUUCGGGAGAGGGAUGUGGAAUUCCCGGUGUAGCAGUGAAAUGCGUAGAUAUCGGGAGGAACAUCCGUGGCGAAGGCGGCACCCUGGACCAGCACUGACACUGAGGCACGAAAGCGUGGGGAGCAAACAGG